AGCGAACGCUGGCGGCAGGCCUAACACAUGCAAGUCGAACGAACCCUUCGGGGUUAGUGGCGGACGGGUGAGUAACACGUGGGAACGUGCCUUUAGGUUCGGAAUAACUCAGGGAAACUUGUGCUAAUACCGAAUGUGCCCUUCGGGGGAAAGAUUUAUCGCCUUUAGAGUGGCCCGCGUCUGAUUAGCUAGUUGGUGAGGUAAAGGCUCACCAAGGCUACGAUCAGUAGCUGGUCUGAGAGGAUGACUAGCCACAUUGGGACUGAGACACGGCCCAAACUCCUACGGGAGGCAGCAGUGGGGAAUCUUGCGCAAUGGGCGAAAGCCUGACGCAGCCAUGCCGCGUGGAUGAUGAAGGUCUUAGGAUUGUAAAAUCCUUUCACCGGUGAAGAUAAUGACUGUAGCCGGAGAAGAAGCCCCGGCUAACUUCGUGCCAGCAGCCGCCGUAAAAC
rnacentral:rRNA from 1 species